rnacentral:rRNA from 1 species
CAGCAGUAGCCGCGGUAAUACGUAGGGUGCGAGCGUUAAUCGGAAUUACUGGGCGUAAAGCGUGCGCAGGCGGUUAUAUAAGACAGAUGUGAAAUCCCCGGGCUCAACCUGGGACCUGCAUUUGUGACUGUAUAGCUAGAGUACGGUAGAGGGGGAUGGAAUUCCGCGUGUAGCAGUGAAAUGCGUAGAUAUGUGGUGGAAUACCGAUGGCGAAGGCAGCCCCCUGGGAUAACACUGACGCUCAUGCACGAAAGCGUGGGGAGCAAACAGGAUUAGAUACCCCAGUAGUCCCUGUCUCUUAUAC